rnacentral:pre_miRNA from 1 species
AUACUGCUCCCUCUGUCCUACAAAAGAUGUCUCAAGUUUGUCAAAAUUUGAAUGUAUCUAGACAUGACUUAGUGUAUAGAUGCAUUCAAUUUUAGUUAAAAUUGACGAAAUCUUUUGUCGGACGGAGAAAAUAAUAG